rnacentral:rRNA from 1 species
AUUGAACGCUGGCGGCAGGCCUAACACAUGCAAGUCGAGCGAGCGGCAGACGGGUGAGUAAUGUAUGGGGACUGCCCGAUAGAGGGGGAUAACUACUGUAAACGGUGGCUAAUACCGCAUACUAUCGGAUCACCCAUAUGGGCUUAGCUAGUAGGUGAGGUAUUGGCUCACCUAGGCGACGAUCCCUAGCUGGUCUGAGAGGAUGACCAGCCAAACUGGGACUGAGAAACGGCCCAGACGCCGACGGAGGCAGCAGUGGGGAAUAUUGCACAAUGGGCGCAAGCCUGAUGCAGCCAUGCCGCGUGUAUGAAGAAGGCCCUAGGGUUGUAAAGUACUUUCAGUCGGGAAGCGUUACCGACAGAAGAAGCACCGGCUAACUCCGUGCCAGCAGCCGCGGUAAUAC